rnacentral:lncRNA from 1 species
GUGGUGACUGUGAUUGUAGUGUCCCUAUGUAACCUGUGUGACGUGAUUUAGGUUCGUCUCUCGUAACCUUGGUGACGUGUAUUUAGGUGUCUCUAACCUGUGUGAGCGUUAUUUAGGUGUCUCUGUAACCUGUGUGACGUGUAUUUAGUGUCCUCUGUAACCUGUGUGACGUGUAUUAUUAGGUGUCUCUCGCUUAACCUGUGUGACGUGUAUGUAGGUGUCUCUGUAACCUGUGUGACGUGUAUUUAGGUGUCUCUGUAACCUGUGUGACGUGUAUUAGGUGUCUCUCUGUAACUGUGUGACGUGUAUUUAGGUGUCUCUGUAACCUGUGUGACGUGUAUUUAGGUGUCUCUCUGUAACCUGUGUGACGUGUUAUUUAGGUGUCUCUUAACCUUUGUUACGUGUAUUUAGGUGUCUCUCUGUAACCUGUGUGG